rnacentral:rRNA from 1 species
GACGAACGCUGGCGGCGUGCUUAACACAUGCAAGUCGAACGGAAAGGCCCUGCUUUUGUGGGGUGCUCGAGUGGCGAAAGGGUGAGUAACACGUGAGUAACCUGCCCUUGACUUUGGGAUAACUUCAGGAAACUGGGGCUAAUACCCGAUAGGAGCUCCUGCUGCAUGGUGGGGGUUGGAAAGUUUCGGCGGUUGGGGAUGGACUCGCGGCUUAUCAGCUUGUUGGUGGGGUAGUGGCUUACCAAGGCUUUGACGGGUAGCCGGCCUGAGAGGGUGACCGGCCACACUGGGACUGAGAUACGGCCCAGACUCCUACGGGAGGCAGCAGUGGGGAAUAUUGCACAAUGGGCGGAAGCCUGAUGCAGCAACGCCGCGUGCGGGAUGACGGCCUUCGGGUUGUAAACCGCUUUCGCCUGUGACGAAGCGUGAGUGACGGUAAUGGGUAAAGAAGCACCGGCUAACUACGUG